rnacentral:ncRNA from 1 species
GUAUAAACUUUGAAAAGAGAAGUAAUAUAAUGAUUAUUAUUAGUGAGCUUGGUAUAGUGAAAACAAGUUAAUAUAGUUAUAUGAAUAACACUUGGAGUUGCCCGAAGAAAUUAAGUAGACCGGGCCGUUUAUUACGUUAUAAUAUUUGAGUGGUCAUUUUGACAAAUUGGGUGGAACCGCGGAUUAACAGUUAUUCGUCCCUUUA